AGAGUUUGAUCAUGGCUCAGAAUCAACGCUGGCGGCGUGCCUAACACAUGCAAGUCGAACGAGAAAGGGUAGCAAUACCUGAGUAAAGUGGCGCACGGGUGAGUAACACGUGACUAACCUACCCUGGAGUGGGGAAUAACUGAGGGAAACCUUAGCUAAUACCGCAUAACACCUACGGGUCAAAGGAGCAAUUCGCUUCAGGAGGGGGUCGCGGCCGAUUAGUUAGUUGGCGGGGUAAUGGCCCACCAAGACGAUGAUCGGUAUCCGGCCUGAGAGGGCGCACGGACACACCGGAACUGAAACACGGUCCAGACUCCUACGGGAGGCAGCAGUGGGGAAUUUUGCGCAAUGGGGGAAACCCUGACGCAGCAACGCCGCGUGGAGGAUGAAGUCCUUCGGGACGUAAACUCCUUUCGAUCGGGACGAUUAUGACGGUACCGGAAGAAGAAGCCCCGGCUAACUUCGUGCCAGCAGCCGCGGUAAUACGAGGGGGGCGAGCGUUGUUCGGAAUUAUUGGGCGUAAAGGGUGCGUAGGCGGUUUGGUAAGUCUUAUGUGAAAUCUACAGGCUCAACUUGUAAUCUGCAUGAGAAACUGCCGGGCUUGAGUAUGGGAGAGGUGAGUGGAAUUCCUGGUGUAGCGGUGAAAUGCGUAGAUAUUAGGAGGAACACCUGUGGCGAAAGCGGCUCACUGGACCAUAACUGACGCUGAUGCACGAAAGCUAGGGGAGCAAACAGGAUUAGAUACCCUGGUAGUCCUAGCCCUAAACGAUGACUGCUUGGUGUGACGGGUACCCAAUCCCGCCGUGCCGUAGCUAACGCGUUAAGCAGUCCGCCUGGGGAGUACGGUCGCAAGGCUGAAACUCAAAGGAAUUGACGGGGGCCCGCACAAGCGGUGGAGCAUGUGGUUUAAUUCGACGCAACGCGAAGAACCUUACCUGGGCUCGAAAUGCAUUGGACCGGGAGUAGAAAAUAUUCCCUCCCCGCAAGGGGCCGAUGUA
rnacentral:rRNA from 1 species